AGAGUUUGAUCCUGGCUCAGAACGAACGCUGGCGGCAGGCUUAACACAUGCAAGUCGAGCGGGCCCUUUGGGGUCAGCGGCGGACGGGUUAGUAACGCGUGGGAACGUGCCCUUUGCUCCGGAAUAGCCCUGGGAAACCGGGGGUAAUACCGGAUGUGCCCCGAGGGGGAAAGGUUUACCGGCAAGGGAUCGGCCCGCGUCUGAUUGGGUAGUUGGUGGGGUAAUGGCCUACCAAGCCUACGAUCGGUAGCUGGUUUGAGAGGAUGAUCAGCAACACUGGGACUGAGACACGGCCCAGACUCCUACGGGAGGCAGCAGUGGGGAAUCUUAGACAAUGGGCGAAAGCCUGAUCUAGCCAUGCCGCGUGGGUGAUGAAGGCCUUAGGGUCGUAAAGCCCUUUCGCCGGGGAAGAUAAUGACGGUACCCGGUAAAGAAACCCCGGCUAACUCCGUGCCAGCAGCCGCGGUAAUACGGAGGGGGUUAGCGUUGUUCGGAAUGACUGGGCGUAAAGCGCGCGUAGGCGGAUCGCAAAGUUGGGGGUGAAAGCCCAGGGCUCAACCCUGGAAUUGCCUUCAAGACUCGCGGUCUGGAGUUCGAGAGAGGUGGGUGGAAUUCCGAGUGUAGAGGUGAAAUUCGUAGAUAUUCGGAGGAACACCAGUGGCGAAGGCGGCCCACUGGCUCGACACUGNNNCUGAGNNNNGAAAGCGCGGGGAGCAAACAGGAUUAGAUACCCUAGUAGUCC
rnacentral:rRNA from 1 species